rnacentral:snoRNA from 1 species
UUAUGAUGAUACCUUUUAGAUGACGAGUCUGAUCAAAUUGUGAAGACAAAACUAUUUUUUUACCAUUCAUGCAAUUCUGAAU